rnacentral:rRNA from 1 species
GGUUAAGCGACUAAGCGUACACGGUGGAUGCCCUGGCAGUCAGAGGCGAUGAAGGACGUGCUAAUCUGCGAAAAGCGUCGGUAAGGUGAUAUGAACCGUUAUAACCGGCGAUGUCCGAAUGGGGAAACCCAGUGCAAUUCGUUGCACUAUCGUUAACUGAAUACAUAGGUUAACGAGGCGAACCGGGGGAACUGAAACAUCUAAGUACCCCGAGGAAAAGAAAUCAACCGAGAUUCCCCCAGUAGCGGCGAGCGAACGGGGAGCAGCCCAGAGUCUGAAUCAGCUUGUGUGUUAGUGGAACGGUCUGGAAAGUCCGACGGUACAGGGUGAUAGUCCCGUACACCAAAAUGCACAGGUUGUGAACUCGAAGAGUAGGGCGGGACACGUGGUAUCCUGUCUGAAUAUGGGGGGACCAUCCUCCAAGGCUAAAUACUCCUGACUGACCGAUAGUGAACCAGUACCGUGAGGGAAAGGCGAAAAGAACCCCGGCGAGGGGAGUGAAAAAGAACCUGAAACCGUGUACGUACAAGCAGUGGGAGCACCUUUAUGGUGUGACUGCGUACCUUUUGUAUAAUGGGUCAGCGACUUAUAUUCUGUAGCAAGGUUAACCGUAUAGGGGAGCCGCAGGGAAACCGAGUCUUAACUGGGCGUUAAGUUGCAGGGUAUAGACCCGAAACCCGGUGAUCUAGCCAUGGGCAGGUUGAAGGUUGGGUAACACUAACUGGAGGACCGAACCGACUAAUGUUGAAAAAUUAGCGGAUGACUUGUGGCUGGGGGUGAAAGGCCAAUCAAACCGGGAGAUAGCUGGUUCUCCCCGAAAGCUAUUUAGGUAGCGCCUCGUGAACUCAUCUUCGGGGGUAGAGCACUGUUUCGGCUAGGGGGUCAUCCCGACUUACCAACCCGAUGCAAACUACGAAUACCGAAGAAUGUUAUCACGGGAGACACACGGCGGGUGCUAACGUCCGUCGUGAAGAGGGAAACAACCCAGACCGCCAGCUAAGGUCCCAAAGUCAUGGUUAAGUGGGAAACGAUGUGGGAAGGCACAGACAGCCAGGAUGUUGGCUUAGAAGCAGCCAUCAUUUAAAGAAAGCGUAAUAGCUCACUGGUCGAGUCGGCCUGCGCGGAAGAUGUAACGGGGCUAAACCAUGCACCGAAGCUGCGGCAGCGACACUAUGUGUUGUUGGGUAGGGGAGCGUUCUGUAAGCCUGCGAAGGUGACCUGUGAGGGUUGCUGGAGGUAUCAGAAGUGCGAAUGCUGACAUAAGUAACGAUAAAGCGGGUGAAAAGCCCGCUCGCCGGAAGACCAAGGGUUCCUGUCCAACGUUAAUCGGGGCAGGGUGAGUCGACCCCUAAGGCGAGGCCGAAAGGCGUAGUCGAUGGGAAACAGGUUAAUAUUCCUGUACUUGGUGUUACUGCGAAGGGGGGACGGAGAAGGCUAUGUUAGCCGGGCGACGGUUGUCCCGGUUUAAGCAUGUAGGCUGGUUAUCCAGGCAAAUCCGGAUAAUCAAGGCUGAGGUGUGAUGACGAGGCACUACGGUGCUGAAGUAACAAAUGCCCUGCUUCCAGGAAAAGCCUCUAAGCAUCAGGUAACAUCAAAUCGUACCCCAAACCGACACAGGUGGUCAGGUAGAGAAUACCAAGGCGCUUGAGAGAACUCGGGUGAAGGAACUAGGCAAAAUGGUGCCGUAACUUCGGGAGAAGGCACGCUGGUGUGUAGGUGAAGCCCCUGCGGGUGGAGCUGAGACCAGUCGAAGAUACCAGCUGGCUGCAACUGUUUAUUAAAAACACAGCACUGUGCAAACACGAAAGUGGACGUAUACGGUGUGACGCCUGCCCGGUGCCGGAAGGUUAAUUGAUGGGGUUAUCCGUAAGGAGAAGCUCUUGAUCGAAGCCCCGGUAAACGGCGGCCGUAACUAUAACGGUCCUAAGGUAGCGAAAUUCCUUGUCGGGUAAGUUCCGACCUGCACGAAUGGCGUAAUGAUGGCCAGGCUGUCUCCACCCGAGACUCAGUGAAAUUGAACUCGCUGUGAAGAUGCAGUGUACCCGCGGCAAGACGGAAAGACCCCGUGAACCUUUACUAUAGCUUGACACUGAACAUUGAGCCUUGAUGUGUAGGAUAGGUGGGAGGCUUUGAAGCGUGGACGCCAGUCUGCGUGGAGCCAACCUUGAAAUACCACCCUUUAAUGUUUGAUGUUCUAACGUUGGCCCCUAAUCGGGGUUGCGGACAGUGUCUGGUGGGUAGUUUGACUGGGGCGGUCUCCUCCCAAAGCGUAACGGAGGAGCACGAAGGUUAGCUAAUCCUGGUCGGACAUCAGGAGGUUAGUGCAAUGGCAUAAGCUAGCUUGACUGCGAGCGUGACGGCGCGAGCAGGUGCGAAAGCAGGUCAUAGUGAUCCGGUGGUUCUGAAUGGAAGGGCCAUCGCUCAACGGAUAAAAGGUACUCCGGGGAUAACAGGCUGAUACCGCCCAAGAGUUCAUAUCGACGGCGGUGUUUGGCACCUCGAUGUCGGCUCAUCACAUCCUGGGGCUGAAGUAGGUCCCAAGGGUAUGGCUGUUCGCCAUUUAAAGUGGUACGCGAGCUGGGUUUAGAACGUCGUGAGACAGUUCGGUCCCUAUCUGCCGUGGGCGCUGGAGAAUUGAGGGGGGCUGCUCCUAGUACGAGAGGACCGGAGUGGACGCAUCACUGGUGUUCGGGUUGUCAUGCCAAUGGCACUGCCCGGUAGCUAAAUGCGGAAGAGAUAAGUGCUGAAAGCAUCUAAGCACGAAACUUGCCCCGAGAUGAGUUCUCCCUGAGACUUUAAGUCUCCUGAAGGAACGUUGAAGACGACGACGUUGAUAGGCCGGGUGUGUAAGCGCAGCGAUGCGUUGAGCUAACCGGUACUAAUGAACCGUGAGGCUUAACCUU